UGCAUUCACUACUGUAAGUCGCUCUGGAUAAGAGUGCCUGCUAAAUGACUGAAA
rfam:Salmo salar isolate Sally breed double haploid chromosome ssa05, whole genome shotgun sequence.